ACUCCGUGCUUUCCUGGGCUAAAGAAACUUCAAGCAGCUGGAAAUGCCAGCAGGGUCCUCUCUUUACUCUAUCCGGCCUCUCGCCGUGGGGCUGAGGAGAGAAACUUCAGUAACCAUGGUAACUUGACACCAGAGGCAUUAUGUCCAAUGGAAAUAACAAGUAAUUGGAGAUUGCCAUGCAGAGUACAGAAAAUGUCAAAAUUGAAUGGAUCACUUAGUCUUUGUCAUUUCCUGCAAUUUGGAGAUUUUGUUACUUUAUUUUUUUAAAAAUAGAUUUUUAAUAUAUAUUUCCCCAAUAAAAAGGAAAAGACAACUAACAAAUACCCUCAAAUGCAUUAGGAAAAUUGAUUUAGUAGAAGCCCUAGAAUAUGUGUCUCUAGCCAGACAUAGAUUAUCUUCAUUCGUAUCUUAAAGGCCAAUUGAAAAAGAAAAUGCUCUAUCAUGAGUCUGAAUGCCUGAAUACCACUUUCAAGCAAAAAAAAUUGCUGUUGAAUCUGUUUGUCCUUUAUUUUGGUAUGUUAAUCUAUUUUCCUUUCUUUGAACAGAAAAAGUAUCUUAAAUGCUUUAGUAAAAGCUGAACAUAUUUUAGUUUGGAUAUACUAGUGCACCAGGACAUAGAAUCAGAGAAUGAUAAUCAUAUCGGGAUUUGGGUUGAAAGGGACCUUAAAGAUUAUCUAGUUCUGACCCUGCUCAAUCCAGAUACUUCACACCCCAGUCCUUAUUAAUACAUUAGUAGUACAGAACCCCAAGCUUGACUUCAUCUAUUAAGUGGUAACAUCCUAGACACCCACACCUACAAAAGACUCCUCUAUCCCUGUAAUAAGGAGCUAGGGUGAGAAGUUGGUCCAACACAAGUCACCAUAUUCUGGAUCAGAAGCCAUUUUUUGUGGCCAUUGUCUGAAAGAAACCUAUAGCAGGAGGCUCUGUGGAGAUGGGAAGGGAGUUCUAUAACUACUGCUUUGACAGCAGAUACUAUUUCCACGUGGAACCCUGAUGUCAAUACGGAGUGUGCAGCACUCAGGCUGCACCAAGUGACAGAAGAAGCUGUUACAAGAGCAGCUGUUGUACAUUGUACACAGAAAGUACCAGUAAAGGUGAAGCCUUUCUCAUUAUCUUCUGCUGAUGUUUCUACUACCUCCAGGCCUAAGUUCCAUUUCUGACAUCCCAGUAGGACCUGCUAAAAAUGGAUACAACAAGGAGAAAAAUUAAGAUAAGCAGAGUAAGAAUCUUACAAAAAUUUGUCUCAUAAUCUUCAGGAUGUACCACAAACAUGGACAUGCAUUCAGCAAGUAGUCAAACACAGAAGCAUGGACCAUAAGAGUCUUCUGCAAUUCACUUUUGGAUAUUUUUGACUUCUAUCACAAAGAUGACAGCUGAGUGACAGAGGUGACUUAUCUUGACAAGACAUACUGCUGGUUUGCAGAGGACCACGAAGAGGACAAACAAAAGAAUCAAGACAGAAGACUUGAUUUACGUCUUGUUUUACAUACAGUGCAUCUAUAAUGGUAUUUUCCUUUGAAGACUGCUUAAAGCACAGAACUGACAAUGAGAUAUAAUUUAUCCACCAGAGAAAUGGCAGGGUCAGCAUUUCAAAGUAAAACUUAAUGUAAGUGUUGAGUGAAAUAACAAUAACUGGGCUAGUCAUUCAUCUGUCUUACCAUUCAUUACUGAAUACAUAAUAUAAAAAAAUUUUUAUAUUCUAUAUUUAGUAUCUAGUCAUUAUAUAUUAUAUUCAGCCUCCCUGGCCAUUGUACUUGCUUACUUUUUCUAAAAUCCCAGGCAGUCUUGGAUACUUUGGUUUUCUGCAUUUGGAGUGAGACUGCACAAUACAGCGCAAUAAAAUCCCCAUGGCAUUAUUUCUUUAGUGUAUAUUGCACAGAAGUCAAUAGGUACAUUUAAUAAAGUAAGAUCCAAUCCAUGG